UCUCGAUCUCUCUCUGUUGUUAUGGAUGGGAAAAGAAAAGCUAAAGAAAAAGGGAAAGAGAAAGAGAAACAGCAGGGUGAUAAGUCAGAAAAAAUAGUGGAGGAGACACCGGAAGGACUUGCAAUGUUCCAAAUAAAUGUUGAACUCUCCUUUAUUUAAAACCCUCGGCUAAAAAAAAUGACCCAAACCCCCGGCUAAAAGAAAUGACCUAAACGGCCCUCCGGGCCGCAUGAUUCGUAAAACAAUGCACAAAAAAAUUUAAAAUUAAAAAAAAAAAGAAUUUAGAAAAAUCUGGGACUAUAUAUAUAUGUGCAUAUGUAUGUAUGAUAUUUAAAGUUAUUAGGGCUUGUUUGUUUUGAAGAAAAUGUCAUUUAUAUAUUUGAACUCUCCUCUAUUUAAAGGAGUAAUGUAGGUGCAGCAUGUAGCAUUUUCCAAAGUCUUGCAUUUUGUCACCCCAAAGGACCAAAUCAUGUGUUCACACCAUGUUUACAAAUAUCACCCAUCUCUUUUGAUCUAUUCAUUCCUCUAUUUAAAGGAGGCAGCAGCCACACAGUUCAGAUUGCACUUUACUCUCUCUUCUAUUUAGAGGAGACAACAACCACCCAAUUCAGAGUGCACAUUACUUUCUCCUUUAUUUAAAGGAGGCAGCCACCCAGUUCAGGGUGCACAUUACUCUCUCUAACCACCUAUCAUCUCUUUCCUCACACACACACACACACACACACACACACACACACACACACACUGUUUUUCUCUAUUUCUCUAUUGUUAUGGAUGGGAAAAGAAAAGCUAAAGAAAAAGGGAAAGGGAAAGAGAAAUAGCAGGGUGAUAAGUCAUAAAAAAUAAUAGAGGAGACGCCAGAAGGACCUGCAAUGUUCCAUAUAAAUGUUGCCUGGGCUCAAAAUCUCCAUAUUCCGGCUAAUAAAUCUACAGAAGAGAUACGCGUCUGUGGUUAGUCUCAACAACAAGAAGUAUACUAGCAGUACAAGAGUGACCAAUUUCGGUGGUUGGAACCCCAUUUGGAAUCAUUUGUGCGAGUUCAAAUUGGAAUGGGUUGAUGUUAUGAACCCCAACAGUUUCUCUCAAGAUCCACAUAUUUGACCAAUUGCCUAAUGAGAAGGGAAAAUCCCAAGCCAAUCAAAUUGGAUCGGUUGUUAAACCAUUGGUGGACCUCUAGAGAGGCAGAAGUAAACUUGUUGGGCAAUGAUGACGCCAAAGCGAAGAUCAAAUUUUGCUUCAAAGACAAGAUGAGUAUAAUUAAGAAGUUCUUCAAGUCUCUCGGGUGCAAAUCUGAUACCGUGGCAACCAUCAUUGAGUCGGUGGUCGAGGGAGUGGUUAAGGGUAUGGGAGCAGCUGAAGAAUAGGAAGUACUAAGGAGAUCAGGGCAGAUUGUCAUGUGUAUAUAUUAGUAAUAUAUAUUAUCUUUGGACAGUAGUUUGAUAUAUAUAUAUAUACGAUAGUUGAAGUUAUAGGGCUUGUUUGUUUUCAAGAGAAUCAAUGUCUGAAGUUUGGGUUUGAGUAGAUGGAUUAUAUGAUAUUUGAUGUAUAUAUGAAAGUUAGUGGAUCAUGGUUAUAUAAUGACAAUUGGUAUUACUUUCUUUUA